UACGAAGGGGGCUAGCGUUGCUCGGAAUUACUGGGCGUAAAGGGAGCGUAGGCGGACAUUUAAGUCAGGGGUGAAAUCCCAGAGCUCAACUCUGGAACUGCCUUUGAUACUGGCUAUCUUGAGUAUGGGAGAGGUAAGCGGAACUCCGAGUGUAGAGGUGAAAUUCGUAGAUAUUCGGAAGAACACCAGUGGCGAAGGCGGCUUACUGGCCCAUUACUGACGCUGAGGCUCGAAAGCGUGGGGAGCAAACAGG
rnacentral:rRNA from 1 species